rnacentral:rRNA from 1 species
CGACCUGAGUUCAGGUGAGGCUACCCGCUGAACUAAGAUUUAAAAAAUUAACAAA